rnacentral:lncRNA from 1 species
ACCAAUCACUUCAGGAUCAUCUCUGAACCCAAGGUUGCAACAUCAUCGAACAAUGUCUCCAACGUUUCACAGCCACCGCAACCAAUACUCCCCUCGUGGCUUCACCACAACCGAAUCAACCGACCUUGCGAAUGCAGUCAUGAUGAGUUUCCUCUACCCGGUGAUUGGGAUGUUUGGGGACUUGGUCUACACCAGGAUAUUCGGAACCUUCACAAACGCAAUAGCUCAGCCUUAUCAAAGCCAGAGGAUGAUGCAGCGUGAGAAAUCUCUUAACCGGGUAUCCAUAUUCUUCUUCUUCUGCAUCUUCCUUUGCCUCCUUCUCUUCUAGCUCUCUCUCUCUCCCUCUCCCUCUUGUAUAGUUUUUGAAAUGUAUAUAAACUGUAAACUUUAUGGUAUAACAAGUACAGACACUAUUGUUCCGAGUUAGGUCUCAAAUGGCAGGCCAUUUACUCGCUGUGUAUUGCAUAUCUGAAGACAUAUACGUGCUUGUAUCUAAUCUUUAUGAACCAUAUAUAUAUAUAUAUAAAUAUUUGUUAAAGAAUCAUAUGAACACUUCAUCUUCUAUUCUAUAAGUUGUUCUGUUGUCUGUUUUUAUCAGAUAAAUUAUAUUUCGAGUGGGGUUUGUAUUUAAGGAGAAGAAUGAAUUGGUAUAUUAUUAUGGCUUCAGAAACACAAAAUCCACCUUGUUUGGUCACAUUGCAUCAAGACAUGAAACAUAUAAACAGAAACCGCCUCUAAGUUCAGCUGCAGGCAAAGGGAGCCUAUCUGCAUUGUCUUCGAGUCAGUUUAGACGGCGAAAUAAGUCUGCUAACAAGCCCGCUUAUCCGGUCAGCUCCUAGACCGGGAUUGAUCUUUGACGGAUCACCAACCUUUGAGCAGUUCGGUUUGCCAGCACACCAACCACCAGGUGUAAAACUUCCAUUACCUCUACCGAGGAGCUCUGUGUCAAUCUUGUCCAAGGCAAGAUCAUUGUGUGUGAACUUGCGGGCAAACACAGCUCCGCUUGCAAUCAUCUUCUUUGUAUCACUGAUGUUGAGCAUCUUAGGAUGCUGUUGUGGACGUUUGUCCCAUGAGAUGUAAUGCAGGUCACUGUUAACCACCGUGCUCGAAUACUCUGGUGCAUUGCAUAUCACUGUGUGGAAAUAACCUUCCGGUGUAGAGAGGAAGUUAGUGUAGUACAUUAACAGAGUCCUUGGAAGAUUGUCCCAUCCCCAGAUGCAAUAUUCUACAAAGGAACGAGAUAGGACCAUCCAAGCAGAACCUAGAGUUUCCGGUCAAACAUGUAACUUAGUCACCAACGUUUCCAUAAUCAUUACAUCACUUAAAAAUCUUUAGAUGGUAACUAGGCAUUAGUAGAGAACUAAUGACUAAGUGGAUUAUUUGAGGCAUAUGCAGGACUUAAUUGUUAACAAAUUAUUGAUUUUAUAUAUUUUACAUAAAUUAGAUAUUUUAGUUUUUAGAUUUAAUUAUAAAAUUAUUUUGAUAAUUACAAAAACUAGAUGUACAAAAGAAAAAAAAUUAGAUAGAUUUUGUGGAUUUGAAUUAACAAUUAUUGCUUGAUUUAAAAGAACUAGACCAAUUCAAACUGAUUUAAACGAUUUAGAUUGUUUUAAUAACAUAUUUAAAUAACAUAAAUCGAGUUUUAAGAAAAUCACUAGGAUAAGACCUGCGCUUUGCGCAGGGUAAGUUUAUUUGUAUAUAUUAUCGAUAACUUUCUUUUUAUAUUUGAUUAUUUUAUUUAUACAUAAAUAAUAUGUUUUGUUGAUAUUAUAUCAUUUAUUCCGAUGGACCGGAUCAAUUUUUUUAAAAAACUGUUGAACUAAACUAUAAUUAAUAUAUCAUGGAUUGGUUGGAUUGAACAUUAAAUAAAUUAUGACACAAAAACCUUAGUUUUUUUCCCUGAACACAUUCUUGAAAAAAGUAAACAAUUUGUUUUUACAGUUGAAUUAUUUUGGCAUUUAUCUUCCAUAUGGUUUUGAAAAGUUUCACAUCAACCAUCGAAUUGAUACAUGUCAUUUUAAUGUUUUUAGUCGUAUGCUUAAAAAACUUACAUUUUGUAAUUUACGGUCAUUUAAAAAAAUCAAAAUAUAACAUAUAAGAAAUAAUCUAACAUAUAAGAAAAAAAUAACAUAUAAGGUUUCCUCAUUUUUGUAAUCUAAAGUCAUUUCAAAAAAAAAAAUAUAACAUAUAAGUUUUCCUUAUUUUUGUAAUUUAAAGUCAUUUUAAAAAAUUAAAAUAUAACAUAUAAGAAAAAACAUAUUUUUAUUAUAUGGUUAAUGUGAUUGUUUAAUUUUUUUUAAUAAUAUAAAAUUAAACAAAAAUGAAGAAUGAUAUAAAAAUUGUUAUCAAAUAUUUAUUAUUCAUAGUCAUUACUUGUCUUAUAUAUGUUAAUCAUAUUAUGUAAUUUCGUAGCUUUUAUUUAAGGAAAGAUUACACUUUUCUUAUAUUUUGGCUUAAUAUAAUAUUCCAUAGUAAUUGGAUUUGGACUAACAUUUUUUCAAUUGAUUCUUAAGCUGCCGCGUAAGCUAAAUUGUCAUCCUAAUUAAGUGACACAUAAGCAAAAUUUCUUUUUUUUUAAAUGAUCAUCAGUUAAUAUAUAUGGGAUUAAAAAUAAUUGUUAAAUAAAUUAGUUAUUAUAGAUUUAUAAGAUGAAAACAAAAAAAUAACAAUAUACUAAAUUUAAGACAAAUAUAUGUCAAAGAAAGCCUUUACUUAAGAAUAACCAAUUAUUCAUAUUAACGUCUCAAAUAUCAAGAUCAUAUAAAUAAAAUAAACUACAUGUAUAUAACUAUAUUAUGUAAUUUGCAUAAAACUAUACUACUAUAUUUUAAUUAAUCAGUUUAUUCGGUUUGUAUGGUUUGAUCAGUUUAUAUUCUGAACCAUAUCUAUAUACCACGGUUUCUAGAAAUAACAUAUAUUCGGUUUAUGUGGUGUUACCAAAUAAACUAAUUUUUCUAUUUCGAUUUUGUUCGGUUUUAGUUGGUCCAGUUUUUACCGAAUUGAACAUCAUUAAUUCAAAUUACUAAAUAGUAGAUAGUUUGCAAACAUGUUUCUUGUACUGAAUCGUACGUAAUAUAGUCAAUUUUGUUUUUGUAUUUUAUAAUUAAAUCUAAAAAUAAUUUGUAAAAAUAGAUCUCUUUUUCCAAAGGACUAAACCAAACAGUUUUUUUUUGGCUGAUUGCUAGUUGGAAAGAUGAUGGUUACUUAUCGUUUAAAUAUGAUUAGCUUAUAUGUUAACAUCGUCUAUAAUUACUAUUAACUAAUAUGAUUUGCAUUUACUAUAAUUUUACUUAACUCCCCAAAAAAUAUUUUUAGUUCUUGCCUUGACAAAGUUUUUGCAUCUUAAAUAUAAAUUUUUCAUAUUUUCACUUUUCUUUUACCUCAAGGCAAUUAUAUUGGAUAUUUAUGCAUAAAGUAUUAAGUUAAUAGUAUUGAAAUCUAUAUAUAAUAAAGGAACUAUCAUUUAUGCGUAACUGUCGAUAUUUGGAGUAGAAGAUCCACGCUCUUGGUAGAUUAUUUUCCUAAACAAUGAUUAAAAGUAUUUUAAUAAGGAAACUCUCAUUUAUAUGGUUUCGAGCUUGGUUUAUUUAUACUUUUUAUCAUAUACUUUUAUGUUUGGGUUAGUAUUAGUUUCUCUAGCGAAUUGAUUUUGGACUUACACAUUAUUUUAAAUUGCUUGUCAUGCUGCCACAUAAAAUUAAUUGACAUUUUAAUUAAGUGACACCUAAAUAAUUUUUUUUUAAUUAAUACAAAUUUAAAAUUACAAUCUUUUAAAUUUUUUCGGACAAUAUAUAGGGGAUGACUUGAAGCAAGUUAUAUGGACUCAUGGAUUUGAAUGGGACUCAUGGAUUUGAAUGGUUUCAAAUCGAAAAUCUGAUUUAUUGAUGUCAUCAUUAUUACCUAGCUUUGGUAAUGUAAACGUUAGUAUAUGUAGACGUCAAACAUAUAAUUAAUAAAAAAGAUUUAUGUAAUCAAUAUGUAGAUAUAUCCACACAGAUUACGGCUUGUAAUUAUAGACAUAAUGAAUAUAUGUGCAUGUAGUAGCCUUAUUUGAGCAAGAUCGUUAAUUAUUAACUACAGUACUAGAGAUUCUAACCGCGUUACGCGCGGUUUAUAUGUUUUAAAUUUUAUAUGUGAAUUUUACAUUUUAUAUUACAUGUAAUUUUAUAACUUAGUAUAAUUUAUGUGAAUUUCUUUGUUAUUUUUGGAAGCGAAUUCAAUAAUUUUAAUUGAAAAAAUAUAAAUUUUAUCAUAAAUAAAUAAACAGGAAGAAAAUAAUUCCCUUAUAAUGUACUUAAAUAUCAUUAUAGAUGAUGUUAUUAAUGUGAGUGUUCCAAAAGAGAGAAGAAGAUUAUGUUUUUUAAUGUAAAAUCAUUUUUUGAAUGUUGGAAUAUAUCUGAAUCCAUUUUUAAUAUGUUUUAUGGUGUAAUAUUAAAUUUAGUAAAUUAAAUUUAAUAAUUUGUAACAAAUUAGAAGUAUAUGAAUUAAUAUACGGAGGCAGUUGACAAAAAAAAGAAUAAGGGAUAGGUUAACCAAACUAAUCCAAAGACUGUUUCUUUUUUUGUUUAAACUAAAAAGUGGUUUGUAGAUUUAUUUCGACUUGAGCUUGGCUUAUAUCAUAUAAAUUAAAAUUUUAUAUAGUGAUUAUUGGUUCAUUUUUAAUUAAAACAAAGUAAAAAUAAGUUAACGAUAGGAGUGAAAUUACAAAUAUUAAAUUAUCAUUAUGAGAAUAUAAAUAUUAAAUUAUGAGAAUAUAAAUUUAAAAUCAAAUAACAAAAAAUAGUAUAUAAAUAAAAAUAUUAAAAUAUGUUAGCAUAAUAUUUGACGCUAACGAAAGUGGCUGUUUUGAUUGCAACAUCUGCCUAGACACAGCCCAUGAUCCGGUUGUCACACUAUGCGGACACCUUUUCUGCUGGCCUUGCAUUUACAAAUGGUUACACGUUCAGCUAUCAUCCGUCUCAAUCGAUCAGCACCACAACAACUGCCCUGUCUGCAAAUCCAACAUCGCCGUCACCUCACUGGUUCCUCUCUACGGAAGAGGCAUGUCUUCCGGGUUUGUCUCGAAGAAACAAGACGCAGUAAUACCACGGAGACCUGCUCCACCAAUCACUUCAGGAUCAUCUCUGAACCCAAGGUUGCAACAUCAUCGAACAAUGUCUCCAACGUUUCACAGCCGCAACCAAUACUCCCCUCGUGGCCUCACAACAACCGAAUCAACCGACCUUGCGAAUGCAGUCAUGAUGAGUUUCCUCUACCCGGUGAUUGGGAUGUUUGGGGACUUGGUCUACACCAGGAUAUUCGGAACCUUCACAAACACAAUAGCUCAGCCUUAUCAAAGCCAGAGGAUGAUGCAGCGUGAGAAAUCUCUUAACCGGGUAUCC